AAACAUGUAUGGAGGGCAUUGCCUGGUUAGUAGCUUGAAUCUCUCCUAGGCUUCAUAAAGUGUCUCACCAUCCUUCUGUCUGAAAGUCUGAACCUCCACCCUUAGCUU